UGAGUCCUUCCGCAUGUGGGCUGACCUGAGAGACGUAAUGCUGCUGCUGAUGAGUACAGGUCCAGAGGGAGAGGGAAGACGAUAGUGACCGGUCACAACGUACUGUAUAGCAACCACACGUAUUGGCCCAAUGCAUAGUCUCUGUGUAGUUGCUAUGUAGUGACAGUUUUAAAGUAGUGAGCUUAUUUUUUAAAUAAUCUUGUUGUCUAUCUGUUUGCAGUGUGAGAAGCUGACCAACUCUUUGAGCAGAUGCUGCUGAUCUCUCACUAAUGUGCCACGCGCUGCCAAGGGGUUGACCAACUCUUAUAUACACUGAGUGAACAAUCAUUAGGAACACCUGCUCUUUCCCUGACAUAGACCGGCCAGGUGAACCCAGAGCUAUCAUCUCUUACUGAUGUCUCUGGUGAUAUAAGUGGUUUAUGUGAGAAGUACAGGCCGGGAACGUUUUACUCACUUACCCUGACAGGUCAGUGUGGCUGCCAAGCUGUAUCUCCCUGCUGCGCCACACAAGAGUUUAUCCCAGCUGACAAGGCCUUCUACAAGGCGGGCAUGGCUGCCAGGGCUGUGAGCUAGGAGAACAUGUCCUUUAUCUUCCUCAACCACUUCCUGGAUCUGUCUAAUGGAUAGAUGAAGGGAAUCUGGACCACUCUGAUUUCCAGGACACGGACAUCUCCGAGGUUCCUGUCCCUGCUAAGCUACACGUCACUGAUGCCCAGCGUGAGGAGAUCCGUGACUGGGUGUUGACGGUGUCCAUGGACCAGCGGGUAGAGCAGGUGCUGCCCAACGACGAGAGGGACACCUACGACGCCUCUCUACUGGCAGCCAACACCGGCAUCCGCUACCUGCCUUGCGUUAUCACAGGUGGGUGGGAGAAACCCCCUACAGAGCACCUUACCCUCUCCCAUCUCUAUGGAAUUACCCCAGUGUCUAGGACUGUACCAUCUACUCCAGGGGUGUGAAAAGUCUUGGGUGUGUCUGUGUGAGGGGGGCUAUUGUUGGAGACUCUUUGACCUUAGUUAAAUAUUUUAUAAUUGCCAUGUUAUUCUUGUAAUUGGCAUAGAUUCACAAAAGUACAUAUGAACCCCAUUUUGUUCUUCAACCUAACUAGUUGAUGGCAUACAUGUGUAUACUGUACUGGUAAGCAAAGCAGAGGUGCUGACUCCUGCUUGCUCAGAGGCCUGCACCAGUCAUAACAUUACUGACAAGACACGGGUGCAUAUAACCUGGUAUAUAGUACGUAAAGAUGCAGUGCUAUCCAGAGAUGCAGGGACUGACUGGCCUCCCACAACACCCAGAGGACUGUGUUGUGUUCAGGGAGGCAGUUAGCAGACCCACGUAUGAUGGCAGACCUGUUAAUUGGUUGACUAAACAUACGACUGUAAUGAAAGCUCUCGCGCUCUCUCGCGGAAUAAGAUUGAGUUCAAAGAACCUGGCAAGGCAGCUAACAAGGAUGACUGGAAUACAUUCGUAAUGGUCACAAGGGUAAGAAGGGGGUUUGUUAUGUAGUCUCCAGGUCAAACAUCACUGUGCUUAUGACUUCCUCUGCUGAUUUAGCUGCUAGUCCAUCAGCCCUCACCCACAUGAAACACUGGGUUUGAUUUAGAAUUUAUCCACACUUUUGAUCACAGGCACUCAUGCAGGUUUAGAAUGUAUAACAUGUAAGGUUGCGUCUUCGAGUAGGGCCCAUUUUCCUUUGUGUUUCAUCCUUCCUGUGUGUGAUUGGGAUUACAGUGUGAUUUAAGUAAAUGGACUAAUGUCCACAGAGAUUUAAAGACUGGCUUAUUACACGUGUGUGUCAAAUAUAUAAAUAUAUAUCUAUAUCUCAUGCCCGAAGUUCCAGGAUUUGCUGAAGUUUGUGAGUCUGUGGCGUGGUGGACUCCCCACCUCCGGCUUCUUCUUCCACUGACAGGACCAAGAUGCUGAAAACUCAAUCUUCGUCCAGUGUACCGCAUACCUAUAACUACAGUAAUUUACCAUACCGUACUCUGCUUAGAGCCUCUGCCUACUUCUGAGUUAUUUCAUCCAUCCUCCAUCUCUGGUUUGGUGUUAGUGUUGAACAGUUCACAUCAUUCCAUAACAAUAGACUGUUGAGAAGACCUGCUGUGUUACUGCGCCAUACAUUUCUGCAGCGCUGACAUCAGCACAGUCCUUACUGGCAUCCCAUUGGCCACUUAGUCCCUGAUGUCAGGAUUCUGUGUCACCAUGGGGAUGUCUGUAAAGUUCAGCAGAACAUUCCUCUUCUCCUCUGUGUCUGUCCUGUUUUACCUUUUGAAUGUGUGUUCAUUCCCAUUUUCACCUAUGUUCCUGGUACUGCUGAAGGACUGGAGUAGGCUACAACCAAAGUGGGGUUUUAUUUAGUUGAGGGACUUGAAAGAUUCCUUUACACUUCAGGUGCUGUAUCUUCAUAAUCAAAGUGCUGUUAUCUGUAAUACAUGUGCUGUGUUCUAAAAGCAAAGUUCCUGUGUGAUAGGAGAAUUUGACAGUGCACUUUAGAAUACUGUAUUGGCUUCAUGUAUUGUUGGAUUAAAG
ensembl:lncRNA